rnacentral:misc_RNA from 1 species
GAUGAAGAACGUAGCGAAAUGCGAUAAGUAAUGUGAAUUGCAGAAUUCAGUGAAUCAUCGAGUCUUUGAACGCACAUUGCGCCCCCUGGUAUUCCGGGGGGCAUGCCUGUCCGAGCGUCAUUGCUGCCCUCAAGCACGGCUUGUGUGUUGGGCCGUCGUCCCCCUCCUAGGGGACGGGCCCGAAAGGCAGCGGCGGCACCGCGUCCGGUCCUCGAGCGUAUGGGGCUUCGUCACCCGCUCCGUAGGCCCGGCCGGCGCUUGCCGACGACCAUCAAUCUCUUUCUCCAGGUUGACCUCGGAUCAGGUAGGGAUACCCGCUGAACUUAAGCAUAUCAUAAGCGGAGGA